AUUGAACGCUGGCGGCAUGCCUUACACAUGCAAGUCGAACGGUAACGCGGGGCAACCUGGCGACGAGUGGCGAACGGGUGAGUAAUGUAUCGGAACGUGCCCAGUUGUGGGGGAUAACUGCUCGAAAGAGCAGCUAAUACCGCAUACGACCUGAGGGUGAAAGCGGGGGAUCGCAAGACCUCGCGCAAUUGGAGCGGCCGAUAUCAGAUUAGGUAGUUGGUGGGGUAAAGGCCCACCAAGCCAACGAUCUGUAGCUGGUCUGAGAGGACGACCAGGCACACUGGGACUGAGACACGGCCCAGACUCCUAAGGGAGGCAGCAGUGGGGAAUUUUGGACAAUGGACGCAAGUCUGAUCCAGCCAUGCCGCGUGCGGGAAGAAGGCCUUCGGGUUGUAAACCGCUUCUGUCAGGGAAGAAAAGGGCGACUCUAAUACAGUUGCCUCAUGACGGUACCUGAAGAAUAAGCACCGGCUAACUACGUGCCAGCCGCCGCAGUAACAC
rnacentral:rRNA from 1 species